rnacentral:misc_RNA from 1 species
AAGUCGUAACAAGGUUUCCGUAGGUGAACCGCUGGCAGAAGGAUCCAUUACUGAGGGUUAGGGGUCGUUCUGGCCCCACCUCCAACCCUUGUGUUUAAAGCAUACCACGUUUGCUUCGGCGGGCCCGUCCUCUCGAGGACCGCCGGGGAGGUUUCCACCUCUCUGGCCCGUUGCCCGCCGGUGGCCAAACCACAAAACUCUUGAUAAACACUGUCGUCUGAGUUACAUUUAUUUAAUUAAAAAAUAAAA